rnacentral:lncRNA from 1 species
UUCUACAAAACUUUCCAAGUUGGCAGAAGGAGAAGCCACUGCCUCCUCCGGUUUGGAGGCCUCAGGGGAGGUGUUGUCUAGACCGCCCAAUCCACUAUCCAUUCACAAGCCAGUCAGCAACUACCACUUGCCAGAGUCCCUGCCACCACCUCCCACUCUGUGGGGACAACAGCAUCCACUUCUUCCACAACAACGAAACAACAAAGAUAAAGCAUGGCACCUGUCGUCAUGCUUGCCACCUUUCAGCACCUCUCGGCUCAGCAUUCUGAAAGCCGGGAACUCAUCUUUAAAGGAGGCCAGGACUUGAAUACAAGCAAGAAAAUGGCAUAAAAUGAAGGAAUUAGCCACUCGAGGUUGAAAACACACUUCCCUAAAAUGACAGCAGCAUUUGGAGCUGCAGGUGGGAGCACACAGCCUACCUCUAACUGGCCUGUCAGAACAGACACGUUUUCCCGUUCUCAUUUUGUGUUUCCUUAAACCAACUACUAACUUCUGGCAGAGGUGGUGACUGCCUGGGAAAGAUGCCAUCCUCAUCUGGCCCCCUUAUCUAUCAAGAUGCAAACUAAUAAAACCAGCGGGCGGGACACCCAUUUAACCUGAAACCUCCUCUUUUGUUAAAAAUGGACUGAAUGUGUCUUCCGGUUAAUAAUAAACUUUGCUGGGCACUGGAAUAACCACCAGCCUCCUCAACCGUGGCUGCUCUCAAAAGCAGAUGUGGUGUUCCCUGUCCCGAGAA